AUGCACGCUGCGGCGUGCCUACUACAUGCAAGUCGAGCGAAAAGACGAGGAGCUUGCUCCUCUGACGUUAGCGGCGGACGGGUGAGUAACACGUGGAUAACCUACCUAUAAGACUGGGAUAAAUUCCGGAAACCGGAGCUAAUUACGGAUAAUAUAUUUAAACGCAUGGUUUCAAAGUGAAAGACGGUUUUGCUGUUACCUAUAGAUGGAUCCGCGCCGCAUUAGCUAGUUGGUAAGGUAACGGCUUACCAAGGCAACGAUGCGUAGCCGACCUGAGAGGGUGAUCGGCCACACUGGAACUGAGACACGGUCCAGACUCCUACGGGAGGCAGCAGUAGGGAAUCUUCCGCAAUGGGCGAAAGCUUGACGGAGCAACGCCGCGUGAGUGAUGAAGGUCUUCGGAUCGUAAAACUCUGUUAUUAGGGAAGAACAAAUGUGUAAGUAACUAUGCACGUCUUGACGGUACCUAAUCAGAAAGCCACGGCUAACUACGUG
rnacentral:rRNA from 1 species